GACGAACGCUGGCGGCGUGCUUAACACAUGCAAGUCGAACGGAAAGGCUCCAGCUUGCUGGAGUGCUCGAGUGGCGAACGGGUGAGUAACACGUGGGCAAUCUGCCCUGCACUCUGGGAUAAGCCUGGGAAACUGGGUCUAAUACCGGAUAGGACCUUUCUCCUCAUGGGGUUUGGUGGAAAGUUUUUCGGUGCAGGAUGAGCCCGCGGCCUAUCGGCUUGUUGGUGGGGUAAUGGCCUACCAAGGCGACGACGGGUAGCCGGCCUGAGAGGGUGAUCGGCCACAUUGGGACUGAGAUACGGCCCAGACUCCUACGGGAGGCAGCAGUGGGGAAUAUUGCACAAUGGGCGAAAGCCUGAUGCAGCGACGCCGCGUGAGGGAUGACGGCCUUCGGGUUGUAAACCUCUUUCAGUAGGGACGAAGCGCAAGUGACGGUACCUGCAGAAGAAGCACCGGCUAACUACGUG
rnacentral:rRNA from 1 species